GACGAACGCUGGCGGCGUGCCUAAUACAUGCAAGUAGAACGCUGAAGGAGGAGCUUGCUUCUCUGGAUGAGUUGCGAACGGGUGUGUAACGCGUAGGUAACCUGCCUGGUAGCGGGGGAUAACUAUUGGAAACGAUAGCUAAUACCGCAUAAUAGUAGAUGUUGCAUGACAUUUGCUUAAAAGGUGCAAUUGCAUCACUACCAGAUGGACCUGCGUUGUAUUAGCUAGUUGGUGGGGUAACGGCUCACCAAGGCGACGAUACAUAGCCGACCUGAGAGGGUGAUCGGCCACACUGGGACUGAGACACGGCCCAGACUCCUACGGGAGGCAGCAGUAGGGAAUCUUCGGCAAUGGACGGAAGUCUGACCGAGCAACGCCGCGUGAGUGAAGAAGGUUGUCGGAUCGUAAAGCUCUGUUGUAAGGGAAGAACGAGUGUGAGAGUGGAAAGUUCACACUGUGACGGUAUCUGACCAGAAAGGGACGGCUAACUACGUG
rnacentral:rRNA from 1 species